UGUGUCCAGUGCUAGGCUAGUUGGGUGGUGAGAUUUUGAGUGGUUCUGCCUCCUACAAUCUCUUUUUUCCUGUCCAUUUUCAGAGCCUGGUCCUCCAGAAUUCUUGGCAAUUAUUAAAGUAACCCAGUAUCUUUUCAGUGAAUUCCCUUUGUGCUUACAUCGACCAGAGCCAACUUCUGUUUCCCACACUUAAGAACUCUGUCUAGUACUGUGCAAGUAUAGUGCUAGCUCUUAUUAUUAAUCUCCCAUUUCUGCCUUUGUUUGAACUGGCACUUAUCUUCCGGAACUUGUUUCAUUACUGAAAUAAAUAGCACCUAACAGUCUGUCUGCCCCAAGAAGCCUCUCCUGACUAAUUGGGAAAUGCCAGUUCCUCCUCGUAUCUUCCCUUCUUUGUGUGGCAGCAUCUUCUCAGCCUCGCUUGUCACUGUCUUCCACCAUACUCAGAGCAACAGCAAAACAACUGCCAUUGUUCUCACAUCUUCAGUCACGUCUGUGAAGAGCCACGAUGCCUUGUGUGGGGUGUGCAAUUUACGGACCUUGAAGAGGAGGCUACGUUUCAUGUGCGGGUCAAUGCAGCCAAGACCUGUGAGACAAUCCAAGAACAGACGAGGAGAGAGGCGACUUCGAGCACUUCAACUCUCUCACAGCAACCCUCAGCAGCCCUCUGGGCUUUUUCCGGGUGCUGAUCCCAAGUGCACACUGGUAAAUGUCCUGCAGGUUCUCCAGGUCAGAGCUGGCUUCCUGGAGAACUCAACCGUGGAAAAGCCAAUCUAAGAGCUCACCCCCGGAGGAGCGCCUGGGAGGGGCACACUCCACUCAGCAUACUUUGCCUCUGGAAACGAUCACUCACCCUUUAGGCCAGGGGGUCUGAGAACUUCAGCUGUGUGUCUGUGUGUGUGUGAGACAGAGGCAGAGAGUGGUGUGGAUCAGGGUGUACUCAUGUAUAUAUUUAUUUUACUUUCUGCUCUAACAAGGCGGUCAUCACCAGAUGUUUGAAACAAAAUACUCACGAAAGAGAACAAACACUUCAGUGUUCUGACUUUCCAAUAACAACGGGGAGUAGAGGAAGAGGGAUGGAAUGUUUCUGUCUCUGAGAAUUUGUAAAGCUUUCAGAGUACGUGUAGAAGUGGACUACACUUCCAUAAAAUGAAAUGCAGCAUACCCAAACUCACAAAAUGGAAAAAAUGAGGGCCAUGGUUUCUAAUUCUGAUUUAAAGAACCCCAUCAUUCAUUCAUUCAUGUAUUUCUCAAAUAUUUAUUGAUUGGAAGGAUUCAUUUUUCUAUCCCUCUCCAGCUUUACUGAGAUAUAAUUGACAUAUAGCAUUGUGUAAGGUAAGGUGUAUAAUGUGAUGAUUUGAUGCAUGUAUUUACUGAGAAAUGAUUACCACAGUGAGGAUAGUUAACACCUCCAUCACUUCACAUAGUACUUUGUUUUUUUAUGGUGAAAACAUUUAAGUUUUCUUAAAUGUUUUUUAUUUAACUCUCUAAAAAUUUAACUCUCUAAAAUACAAAAUAUAUUUAUUUAACUUUCUAAAAAUGUGGAACGCUUCACAAACGUGCACAUCAUCCUUGCGCAGGGGCCAUGUUAAUCUUCUCUGUAUCGUUCCAGUUUUAGCAUGUGUGCUGCUGAAGUGAGCACUAGGAAAUAUUUAUUGAGAAUCUAUUAGGUACCGGGUAUCAGGUUAGGUUCUGAGGAACCUUGAUGGGCUCACAUUUUAAUGAGGGGAUGGGGCCAGGGAGAGCAAUGGGCAAACAAAUAAUUACAGCAAAAGUCAAGCAGUUUGACGACAUCCUUGUUGGUGAAGCUGUGGGGAAACAGGCACUCUCAUCGACUGCUGGUGAGAGUAGAAGUCAGGGGAGGUACAUUUGCUGGUAUUUAUCAAAAUUGCAAAUGCGCACACCUGUGGACCCAGCAACUCCACCUUAGCGAGUCUAUCCUAAGGAAAUAAUGGUGCAAAAUAUCAUAAACACAAGAUUGUUCAUUGCAGCAUUAUUUGUAAUGAAAAAGAUUGGAAGGAACCAAAAUGCUCCCAAAUUAUGGUACAGCAUGUGAUGGAAUACCAUGGAGCUGUCAAAAAGAACGAAGCUUGAUACAGAAAGAUCUACAAAAUAUGUUAAGGCAAAGAUGUAGACCAGUGUAAAAGCAUUCGUGUACAAAAGAGGGGAGAAAAGAAUAUAGUUAUGUAUACAUGCAUAGAAUAUCUCAGAAAGGAUGCUUAAGGAAUUAAUAUUAGUUGCCUCUGGGGAGGGGAGCUAGGUCUCCAUAGGAUAGGAUUAUAUAUUCUUCUUACCUUUCAAAUGAUCAAUCAUAUGAACAUAUUACCUUUUCAAAAAAUAAAUAAAAAUUUCAACUUUUAAAAAAGAAAUAAUUAUAUUAAAUGAGUGAAGUAGUAAUGGAGGUGCACGAAAAGUACUAUUGGGGUGCUGAGUAGAUUUGUGUGUGAACUGUAAGACAUCUGAUGGGAGAGUUGGUAUUAGACUAGACAUCCUUUCACAUCCUUAGAAUCCUGUGUGUCUAUGAAAAUAAGGGGUUGCCUUAGACAAUGCCUGGGUUCCUUUCAAAUGCCAGAAUUCUGUGAUUCAGUGAUUUUAGAAACUGAAGGAGAAUUGGGUGCAGAGGUUUGUGUAUAUGUGUGUGGGAAGGGAAAGCUUUAAAAAUGACAUGCUGGGGGUGCUCCCAAUCAUUGUCCCAACCACAAGUUUGUUUAUGCAUGUCUUCAUCAUGCGAAGGGACGCAGGCCUGCCUCGGUGUGCUGAUGGGUGUGGUGGCAGCCUUCGAGCAGCUCAGGUGUUACUCUGCCUCUUUAAAUCAAACCAAGGCAAGUCAAUUUAGGACCAGAAGUGGGAGGUUUCUGAAUAAUUAAAGGUUUUCGCUUGGUUUUCUUGAUCUAUACGUUUCUAUGAACACACCAGUUGUUUUGUUAGCCUCCUGCUGUGGGAGAGAUGCAACUUUGUGACUUUGGCAAUUGUUGAAGAGGUUUGAAGGAAAAAACUUACAGAUUUAUUAGAUGAUUUAUCUCCGUUUUUAAUAAAACAGGGGAGAAAUGUUACGAGCCAAGGAGCGGCACUGGGAAAAACAAGCCAAGGCCAGGGACAAAAAUAACCCACAGAAAAGAUGCUUGCCUGCAGCAAACAGGAUGCCACGGAGGAGCUUCUCCCAGCUGGCUGUUGCCCUUUCAGCUUGGGCCUCAGAGUGAGCACGUAUGGAGCAGACCUGAGUCCAAUCUGCAGCAAGGAGACAAGCCCAGCUGGACUGCAAUAUGAUGCAAAGCUGCCCAGGAAGAUCAGCCCUGAGCUAACAUCUGUGCCCAUCUUCCUCUACUUUAUAUGUGGGAUGCCUGCCACAGCACGGCUUGACAAGCAGUGCGUACGUCUGCACCCAAGAUCCAAACUGGCGAACCCCGGGCUGCUGAAGCAGAACGUGCGAACUUAACCGCUGCGCCACCAGGCCGCCCCCGAUGCUUUUACCAUGUUAUUCAUUAGCAUCUUUCUGGCUGGCUUAUAUCUGG
ensembl:lncRNA